rnacentral:rRNA from 1 species
GCAGCAGCCACGGGAAUACGAAGGGUGCAAGCGUUACUCGGAAUUACUGGGCGUAAAGCGUGCGUAGGUGGUGGUUUAAGUCCGUUGUGAAAGCCCUGGGCUCAACCUGGGAAUUGCAGUGGAUACUGGGUCACUAGAGCGUGGUAGAGGAUAGUGGAAUUUCCGGUGUAGCAGUGAAAUGCGUAGAGAUCGGAAGGAACAUCUGUGGCGAAGGCGACUAUCUGGGCCAACACUGACACUGAGGCACGAAAGCGUGGGGAGCAAACAGGAUUAGAUACCCGCGUAGUCCCUGUCUCUUAUAC